UCUCCGUAGGUGAACCUGCGGAGGGAUCAUUACACAAAUAUGAAGGCGGGCUGGAACCUCUCGGGGUUACAGCCUUGCUGAAUUAUUCACCCUUGUCUUUUGCGUACUUCUUGUUUCCUUGGUGGGUUCGCCCACCACUAGGACAAACAUAAACCUUUUGUAAUUGCAAUCAGCGUCAGUAACAAAUUAAUAAUUACAACUUUCAACAACGGAUCUCUUGGUUCUGGCAUCGAUGAAGAACGCAGCGAAAUGCGAUAAGUAGUGUGAAUUGCAGAAUUCAGUGAAUCAUCGAAUCUUUGAACGCACAUUGCGCCCUUUGGUAUUCCAAAGGGCAUGCCUGUUCGAGCGUCAUUUGUACCCUCAAGCUUUGCUUGGUGUUGGGCGUCUUGUCUCUAGCUUUGCUGGAGACUCGCCUUAAAGUAAUUGGCAGCCGGCCUACUGGUUUCGGAGCGCAGCACAAGUCGCACUCUCUAUCAGCAAAGGUCUAGCAUCCAUUAAGCCUUUUUUUCAACUUUUGACCUCGGAUCAGGUAGGGAUACCCGCUGAACUUAAGCAUAUCAAAGGGGGGGAGGAAA
rnacentral:rRNA from 1 species